rnacentral:lncRNA from 1 species
CCGUCCCCCGCCGUCCCCCUCCGUUCCCCUCCGCACGCGGGUCUUCCCGGCCUCGGCCUCGGCCUGGCGGGGGGGCUGUGCGUCCCAGAGGCCUCGACCCCGGAACCGGCCGUCUCACCCCCCAAUUCCGCCCGGUCCCCCGCGCCUCCCUGUGCUCGCCCAAGACCCGAGGGGGCUGCUCCCGCAGCAGCACCGGGGCCAGCGCCCGGCUCCGGGGCGGGGACCCCGGCUCGCCCCCCGCCUCCCCCGCUGCUCCGACGCGGCCCCCCUGGCCGGGUGGCCCGACGGUACGGGUCGGGCGGUGCCGGGGGCGGCCGGUCGCUGACGCCCCGACACCCAGACAGCGCUGCCCGGGCCCCACCUGGGAUCCGCCCGUGGCCGGCGUCCGCUCCCCGGAGCCCGGCCCCCGCGAGGCCCGAGCGGCCGCGUCGCUGGAAGUCGGCGAAGUCUAAGCCGGGAGUUCGGUGCCUCAAGGCACGUAGGAAGCGUGCGAGAGGGCAGAGGAGUGCGCAGCUGAGGGCCUGCGGGCAGCAGGGGAGCUUCAAAGAGCCCGGGAUAUUUGAUUUGCACCUGAGAGGUCUCACCUGA